rnacentral:pre_miRNA from 14 species
UUUCAGUAGGAACUUUAUUAAAAUUAAAAGAAAUUAAUUUAAUGAUAACUUACGGAAAUAA